GAGUGCAAGCGGCGCUCUGCUAAAACUGUCGAUAUAGGAAGAUGAAGCAGCCGCAACACCAUGUGAUGCUUGGUACCUGUUUGCACUUCGACGAUGAUAGAACCACGUGCUUACCGCGCGAAAUGUCGACGCCGGGCGACAAAAGGUAAUAGAGCCGAAGUGAAAGAAAGCAGAAGGGAACAGCCCGCCGUCACGGGACCACCGGCAGAAGCGCUGGAGCCAAGCGCGUCCCCCCGUGCGUCGCCUGCCGCGACAGAGGUCACCUCGCCGCAGAGAUAGG